AUACGGAGGAUCCGAGCGUUAUCCGGAUUUAUUGGGUUUAAAGGGAGCGUAGGCGGGAGAUCAAGUCAGCUGUGAAAUGUAGAUGCUCAACAUCUGCACUGCAGUUGAAACUGGUUUUCUUGAGUGCGUAAGGGGCAGGCGGAAUUCGUCGUGUAGCGGUGAAAUGCUUAGAUAUGACGAAGAACUCCGAUCGCGAAGGCAGCCUGCCGGGCCGCGACUGACGCUGAAGCUCGAAGGUGCGGGUAUCGAACAGGAUUAGAUACCCUGGUAGUCCGCACAGUAAACGAUGGACACCCGCGGUUUGGCCUGUAUGGCUGAGCCGCCAAGCGAAAGCGUUAAGUGUCCCACCUGGGGAGUACGCCGGCAACGGUGAAACUCAAAGGAAUUGGCGGGG
rnacentral:rRNA from 1 species